rnacentral:rRNA from 1 species
GUACCGUGAGGGAAAGAUGCAAAGAACUUUGAAAAGAGAGUGAAAUAGUGCUUGAAACCGUUGGGAGGAAAGCGAAUGGAGUUGCUAUACGACCAGGGUGUCUCAAUCUGGCACGCAAGUUGGUUCCGGUGUAGUGACCCUGUGUCUACGUUCGUGGAGUGGUACCUGUCCUGGCGCGUGACUAUUCUAUCAGCAAUGAUAAAAUGAGUGCUGACCAGACGACGGUGGUCUCAAAGAAUUUAUACCGAAAAAAAGAUGAAAAAUCCCAAAAUUCUACAUUUUGAUCAAAAUAUCUUUACUUUGUAAAUACCGCAAGGCAGUUGCAAAAAAAGAUGGAAUUGGACAAAAUAAUGAUAUGACGUGAUUAAUUAUCAAAUAUUUUUUUCGGAUGAUAAUACGGACGGAAGGGCUUCAUUCGACCCGUCUUGAAACACGGACCAAGGAGUC